rnacentral:tRNA from 4 species
GGGCGGUUAGCUCAGGGGUAGAGCACUACCUUGACACGGUAGGGGUCACAAGUUCAAAUCUUGUAUCGCCCACCA